UCGCAAGACCUUGCGCUUUUGGAGCGGCCGAUGUCUGAUUAGCUAGUUGGUGAGGUAAAGGCUCACCAAGGCUUCGAUCAGUAGCUGGUCUGAGAGGACGACCAGCCACACUGGGACUGAGACACGGCCCAGACUCCUACGGGAGGCAGCAGUGGGGAAUUUUGGACAAUGGGGGAAACCCUGAUCCAGCCAUGCCGCGUGAGUGAAGAAGGCCUUCGGGUUGUAAAGCUCUUUCAGCCGGAAAGAAAUGGUUACGGUUAAUACCCGUGACUAAUGACGGUACCGGAAGAAGAAGCACCGGCUAACUACGUGCCAGCAGCCGCGGUAAUACGUAGGGUGCGAGCGUUAAUCGGAAUUACUGGGCGUAAAGCGUGCGCAGGCGGUUUUGUAAGUCAGAUGU
rnacentral:rRNA from 1 species